rnacentral:rRNA from 1 species
GGGUUGUGAGGUUAAGCGACUAAGCGUACACGGUGGAUGCCCUGGCAGUCAGAGGCGAUGAAGGACGUGCUAAUCUGCGAAAAGCGACGGCGAGGUGAUAUGAACCUUUGACCCGUCGAUGUCCGAAUGGGGAAACCCAGUGUGUUUCGACACACUAUCGUUAACUGAAUACAUAGGUUAACGAGGCGAACCGGGGGAACUGAAACAUCUAAGUACCCCGAGGAAAAGAAAUCAACCGAGAUUCCCCCAGUAGCGGCGAGCGAACGGGGAGCAGCCCGGAGUCUGAAUCAGCUUGUGUGUUAGUGGAAGCGUCUGGAAAGUCGCACGGUACAGGGUGACAGUCCCGUACACGAAAAUGCACAGGUUGUGAACUCGAAGAGUAGGGCGGGACACGUGGUAUCCUGUCUGAAUAUGGGGGGACCAUCCUCCAAGGCUAAAUACUCCUGACUGACCGAUAGUGAACCAGUACCGUGAGGGAAAGGCGAAAAGAACCCCGGCGAGGGGAGUGAAAAAGAACCUGAAACCGUGUACGUACAAGCAGUGGGAGCACCUUCGUGGUGUGACUGCGUACCUUUUGUAUAAUGGGUCAGCGACUUAUAUUCUGUAGCAAGGUUAACCGUAUAGGGGAGCCGCAGGGAAACCGAGUCUUAACUGGGCGUUAAGUUGCAGGGUAUAGACCCGAAACCCGGUGAUCUAGCCAUGGGCAGGUUGAAGGUUGGGUAACACUAACUGGAGGACCGAACCGACUAAUGUUGAAAAAUUAGCGGAUGACCUGUGGCUGGGGGUGAAAGGCCAAUCAAACCGGGAGAUAGCUGGUUCUCCCCGAAAGCUAUUUAGGUAGCGCCUCGUGAACUCAUCUUCGGGGGUAGAGCACUGUUUCGGCUAGGGGGCCAUCCCGGCUUACCAACCCGAUGCAAACUACGAAUACCGAAGAAUGUUAUCACGGGAGACACACGGCGGGUGCUAACGUCCGUCGUGAAGAGGGAAACAACCCAGACCGCCAGCUAAGGUCCCAAAGUCAUGGUUAAGUGGGAAACGAUGUGGGAAGGCACAGACAGCCAGGAUGUUGGCUUAGAAGCAGCCAUCAUUUAAAGAAAGCGUAAUAGCUCACUGGUCGAGUCGGCCUGCGCGGAAGAUGUAACGGGGCUAAACCAUGCACCGAAGCUGCGGCAGCGAC